rnacentral:lncRNA from 1 species
UUGCAUAGAAGAGGCUGCGUUUUUUCUUCAGAAACUCAAGACCCAGAUGAGCAAAAAGACAAAGGCGAGUCCUAAUUUUACUUUUCCCCCACCAAUCAAGUGGAAAGUUUCAAUUUUUGUUUCUGGGAUUUCAUGUUUGUGAAAUGUAGAACAAGUGAUGACCAUUUUUUAUGACUUAUUUUUGUUUUCAACAUUUAUGGAGUAAUCACGUUAAGCUUUUGCAAUUAAAGUGAUUCCCCCACAAAUUUGAUUUUACAUAAUCACAUUUUUUAGUAGAGGUAGUAGGGUCUGAGCAGUAUUGGCUACUUUUAUUCUUGUGCAAUUAAGAAGACACUUGUAUUCUCUCUGAUUAGAAUAAGAUAGGUUCCUAGGUUGACUUUCCCGUGUGUGAAAUCAUGCAAUGCCAAUUUGUAUUUCCCCUUGUAAUUUUUCUACUUAUUCUCUAAUAAAACAUUCUUCUUUUAUCAGAAAAGAAAAUAAAAUGAUGUUAAGUUUACAUUGUAUUAGUAAUGUAAUUAGAUAGCUUACAUAUGUUAAUGACUGAUUGAGGUUUAUGUAGCAUUAAAUAAUCGGUGAUACUUUAGUUUGGCAGAACUUUAACAAAUAUUUGAGCUUGGAUCUACAUGUGUAUACUGCAACCUUUUCAUCUUGGACACCAGAAGAAAGUUAAAAUAGGUAUCAUGAUUAUGUAUUUGUGUGCUUGUUUGGAUUUAAAUGUUUAUAUCAUUUGCCAUAUUGUAUGUAACUUUAUUUGGGAAGUAGUUAAUUUUCACAUUUCUUAAUAGCAUAUUGUGAAUUUUCUUUUUCUUGGGUUAUGAGCACAUAGUUUCAGACUUUUUGCCAGCAUAUCCUAGUAUUUAUAGAAUAAUGUUAUUCAUGUUCAACUUUCUUAUAUCACUGCCUAAGUUACAAUCCAUUUUCUCUGUUUUCUUUUUCCUACUCACAUAUCUCUUUCUCUUUUUUCUGCCUCUUUCUAAAAUUUAUUGUAUUACUUUGAGACUUUGAGCUCGCAAAGUUCAAACAAGAAGAGAAACUUCUCUUGUCGUGUGAAUUAUCGAUUCAUUCACAUGUAAAUAUAGAAGCAUGUGUUGUGCUGAUAAACUUUCUGCCAUGGAUGUGAAGAUUUAAUCUGAUACUCUCUAGCCGGAAAUACCUUAUACUGGAUGAGCUUAAACUAAACUUAUAGUAAUCAAUAUGGGAAUAUUGGUCAGUGUUCCAGAACAUCAGAAGGAGUGAUAGAAAGUGGAUCCUUUACUUCUGCUGUCUAUAGCAAUUAGCAAGUGUAAUCUCUUUAAAAUAUGAUUAGAGAAAGGGAUGUCAACUUUGAGGAUAGUGGAAUUAAUUGAGGGUAAUCAAGUUGUUAUUCCACUAUAGCAAUGACAUCUGAUUUUGUAUGGUUAUAUUUUCUUUAUUUGAAAAUUCUUUUAAAAUAAAAAUAAGAGAAAG